UGGCAGUGCGAAUAGCUGGC
rnacentral:miRNA from 1 species